CUUGCGUGUAGACAGCAAUUGUUUGCUUCACGUAAUCCUCAAAAAGGGAGAUUACGAAGCCUCAGCGUCUGUACAUAUAUAGAUUUGGGUUUGUGACGAAAACCAGUCUGUCUGUUGUGUCGCUGCCAAGGUAGGUCAGCUGUUGGAAGUGCUGAAAGUGUUCGCACUCUGACUUAAAGAUGAAGGUCGCUGUUCUAUUUUGCUUCACUGCCUCUUUGGCUGUUACAGCUGCUUUACCUGCAGUUGCUCCAGCUGCGCCGAUGGUCCCCUCUCCUGCCAUGAUCAGGCCUUC